AGCUGUCUUUUCCUCUCUUGUCUCAGCGCUGUGAGACCACACACAGGCUGGAGUUGCAUGGGCCACGCAUCCAGCUUCAUGGGGUGAGCUGACCCGACGGGAUGAAGCCAAGAUAACACACAUCCUAGAGAGGCCUCCUCUCUCUCUCUCUCUCUCUGGGUCUUCUUCCUGGCUUGCUCUGAUGAAGCAAGUUGCCACAAUGUGAACUGCCCUAUGGAGAGACCCAUGUGAUAAAGAACUGCGGAGGCUGCAGUCACCAGCUAAUGAUUUGCUGAGACCCUCCGUCCAGUGCCCAUGAGGAAAUGAAUCCUGCCAACACCACAUCAGUGAGCUUGGAAACGGACUCUUCCCCAGCGAAUCCUUUAGAUGACUGAAGCCUUGGCCAACACCUUGAUUACCACCUUGUAGAGACAUUGAGCCAGAGAAUCCUGCUAAGCAAUACCCAGAUUCUUGACCUGCAGUAACUUGUAGCCUCACCUGAGAAUUCUUCAGAUCAGCCCUUAAGAAGAGAGAUGUAUCAAUCAGAGUUCAAUGAGGAAGACAGAAAUCAUGCCAGGAAGAUUUUCAUUUCUGUGAACUUGGAAGACUACCCGGUGAAAGGAGAAAGAAAAGACUGAGCAGAAAGGAGGUGGGAAAAUGU